rnacentral:rRNA from 1 species
UAUUGGACAAUGUGGGGAACCCUGAUCCAGCCAUGCGGCGCGUGUGAAGAAGGUCUUCGGAUUGUAAAGCACUUUAAGUUGGGAGGAAGAGUUGUAGGCUAAUACCUUGCAAUUUUGACGUUACCAGCAGAAUAAGCACCGGCUAACUUGGUGCCAGCCGCCGCGGUAAUACGAAGGGUGCAAGCGUUAAUCGGAAUUACUGGGCGUAAAACGCGCGUAGGUGGGUCGUUAAGUUGGAAGUGAAAGCCCCGUGCUUAACCUGGAAAUAGCUUUCAAAACUGGCAAGCUAGAGUAUGGCAGAGGGUGGUGGAAUUUCCUGUGUAGCGGUGAAAUGCGUAGAUAUAGGAAGGAGCACCAGUGGCGAAGGCGACCACCUGGGCUAAUACUGACACUGAGGUGCGAAAACGUGGGGAGCAAACAGG